rnacentral:lncRNA from 1 species
AUUAUUGAAUGCUUACCAUACCAAAGAACACUUAACUUUCCCUCCUACUGUCCAUUCUCUCAUAUCAAUACAAUAACAUCCAAGACAAUAAUUUUAGUACCCUGUGUAAUUCACGAACACACAAGCAUAUCCCAAACCCUAGAACAAACAACUUCCAAUCUAUAGAAUAUGAUCAAGAUAAUUCCUUCGAUUACAAUUCCUCUCCACUGAACUUACAACCUUGUGAUAAACAGUGGUUAGAAACUUUCAUACGUCGUCAAUCUUUCACAACAAUUGAUAAAUAGUGAUCCAUAAACAACUUCGUAAAUCAAACAUUAAUUCAUUAAAUCGAUUCUCUUCACUAGAAUCAACACUAACACAAAAGAAACAAGAAAACUAAGAAGAAGAGAUAGCACCAAGCUUAUCCCUGGCUCAGUACUAUCACAGUCUGGCAUUUUCUUCCCCUCUCCCAUCUUCCUUAUACUACCCCAAGAUACCAACUCCUAUACUACAGAUGAUAACUACUUUUCCUGACUAUUCAUCCAUUCUACUUGCUGAACCACCUUUUCAGCAGGUAUCUAUCCCUAUUUACACUAUACGUUAGGUAACUAUAUUCUAAAAAUAACUACUUAUUCUAUAGGCUUCAAUUGAUUCUUAGCUUGUUGCAAGGCUGACUUAAAGGCGCUUUUGAUCCAAUAAUCUUUGUUGCAAUCUAAUAAUCCAGUCGUGAGAAUUCCUCCUUUGAAGUUGAGUGAUCUAAACUGCCGCGGUGACCAACCCUCUUCACUUAGAAAUUCACUAAAAAUUCAGAUUGUCUUCAAAUUCAACAAAACUUGUGCCUUUCAGAGCUUAGCUUAUAAAAAUUGAUGCUCCCAAAAUUUCAAAUAAAUCCAAUUACUAGGCACUGAGAAAUGCCUUUCCAAACUCGAGUGAUUCAAACUGCAAAGGCAGUCGACUCCCUCAAACUCAAAAAUUCACCAAAAAUUCCUUCUUACUCCAAAUCGAGCAAGUCUUAUCUUGUUGGAAAGCUAACAACAAAAGCUACAAUUUUUUAGAAUCUCACAUUGAAACAACAGAAAUUGAGUGACUGAUUGAAGAAAAUCUGAGGCCCUUAAAACCCUUGGGAUAUUUGAAAGGCCGAGGAGAUAUCUACCUCAAUGAAACAUAUUUUAAAAUUUAAUGACCAUCCUUCACAAUUCAAAAUCCAUA